UGGGGGAUGGCGUUUCACAUGUGUGUCUGGUUGUCUCUUCUAAACAUGCCUGAGUCUUCUGUGCCAGCAACUCCUUUGGAUGGCUACCAGGAAUAUGUUGGUUCUUAGAAACAGCUUUGGGUUUCCUAGCUUUUAUUAUAACAGCUCAUGGAUACACCCUCCAGUCACAAUGGUAUUGGUAGAGGACUUGUGAAGCCAUGCGCCAAGGCAGGCCAACUGCACCUAGGGAGAUCUAAAUGAUUAUCCAGAUAAUAUGAAAUGGAAAUUCUUUUCAGACAUUGCUAAGCAGCUUGGAUAAAAUAAAAAGAAACUUCUGAACCA
rnacentral:lncRNA from 1 species